ACGAACGCUGGCGGCGUGCUUCACCCCUGCAAGUCGCACGGAAAGGCCCUGCUUUUGUGGGGUGCUCGAGUGGCGAACGGGUGAGUAACACGUGAGUAACCUGCCCUUGACUUUGGGAUAACUUCAGGAAACUGGGGCUAAUACCGGAUAGGAGCUCCUGCUGCAUGGUGGGGGUUGGAAAGUUUCGGCGGUUGGGGAUGGACUCGCGGCUUAUCAGCUUGUUGGUGGGGUAGUGGCUUACCAAGGCUUUGACGGGUAGCCGGCCUGAGAGGGUGACCGGCCACAUUGGGACUGAGAUACGGCCCAGACUCCUACGGGAGGCAGCAGUGGGGAAUAUUGCACAAUGGGCGGAAGCCUGAUGCAGCAACGCCGCGUGCGGGAUGACGGCCUUCGGGUUGUAAACCGCUUUCGCCUGUGACGAAGCGUGAGUGACGGUAAUGGGGAAAGAAGCACCGGCUAACUACGU
rnacentral:rRNA from 1 species